rnacentral:tRNA from 1 species
CCUGGUGUCUCAGAUGGUAAAGAAUCUGCCUGCAGUGCAGGAGACUCAGGUUCGAUCCCUGGGUCCAGAA